rnacentral:rRNA from 1 species
UACGUAGGGCGCAAGCGUUAUCCGGAAUUAUUGGGCGUAAAGAGCUCGUAGGCGGUUUGUCGCGUCUGCCGUGAAAGUCCGGGGGCUCAACUCCGGAUCUGCGGUGGGUACGGGGCAGACUAGAGUGAUGUAGGGGGAGACUGGAAUUCCUGGUGUAGCGGUGAAAAUGCGCAGAUAUCAGGAGGAACACCGAUGGCGAAGGCAGGUCUCUGGGCAUUAACUGACGCUGAGGAGCGAAAAGCAUGGGGGAGCGAACAGG